rnacentral:rRNA from 1 species
AUGAAUGCUGGCGGCACUGCCUAAUACAUGCAAGUCGAGCGGCAGCGAGGGUCUCAUCCUGUUCUGAAGCUUCGAGAAUAGAAUGAGAUCUGUCGGCGAGCGGCGGACGGCUGAGUAACGCAUGGGAACGCACCCAAACUGAGGGAUAACCAGUCGAAAGAUUGGCUAAUACCGCAUGUGAUCUUCGGAUUAAAGCCUUCGGGCGGUUUGGGAGCGGCCUGUGUGCGAUUAGAUAGUUGGUGAGGUAAUGGCUCACCAAGUCGACGAUCGUUAGAUGGUUUGAGAGGAUGAUCAUCCAGACUGGGACUGAGACACGGCCCAGACUCCUACGGGAGGCAGCAGUAGGGAAUCUUUCACAAUGGGCGAAAGCCUGAUGGGAAGCAAUGCCGCGUGCAGGACGAAGGCCUUCGGGUUGUAAACUGCUUUUAUAAGCGAGGAAUAUGACGGUAACUUAUGAAUAAGGAUCGGCUAACUACGUGCCAGCAGCCGC